AGAGCGAACGCUGGCGGCAGGCCUAAUACAUGCAAGUCGAACGGAUCCUUCGGGAUUAGUGGCGGACGGGUGAGUAACACGUGGGAACGUGCCCUUUGGUUCGGAACAACUCAGGGAAACUUGAGCUAAUACCGAAUGUGCCCUUCGGGGGAAAGAUUUAUCGCCAUUGGAGCGGCCCGCGUCUGAUUAGCUAGUUGGUGGGGUAAAGGCCCACCAAGGCGACGAUCAGUAGCUGGUCUGAGAGGAUGAUCAGCCACACUGGGACUGAGACACGGCCCAGACUCCUACGGGAGGCAGCAGUAGGGAAUCUUGCGCAAUGGGCGAAAGCCUGACGCAGCCAUGCCGCGUGAAUGAUGAAGGUCUUAGGAUUGUAAAAUUCUUUCGAGCGGGACGAUAAUGACGGUACCCGCAGAAGAACGCCCCGGCUAACUUCGCGCCAGCAGCCGC
rnacentral:rRNA from 1 species